CUCCUAUCUCAAUACCAGAAGAUUCUGUAAGCGCUACACACGUACAUCACGUGUGGCUGUCUACUCCUGAUACGAUAUGUUUGAGUUCACAUUGGGAAAGGGGGUGAGUAAGCUCCUUUGUCUUUAAUCUUGUAAUGGCAGUCGUAUGUUUAUAUCAACACCCAGCUCUAAGUGUUGGAAGGACAAGACAAAUCCUAUGUUGCCUCCAACAGCAGAAGACACAAGCUGUUGUCACAAGCCUUCAAACAGAAUAUUGUUACUAUGUGCAACUAAAAAUAGGAUGUGAUAAAUUAAAUGCUGAUCAACAGUCUCAACUUUUUUGGCUUCUUAACCCAGGCUUUGGUUCUAGUGUGUUCACUGAACCUAAACUUUCUGAUAGAGAGCCAAAUACCAUUUUGAUAGAAAUUGGCCCUAGGCUGAACUUCUCAACUCCCUUCUCAACAAAUGCUGUUUCUAUAUGCCAUGCUGUUGGAUUAACCAGUGUUGUAAGGAUUGAACGAUCCAUCCAAUACCUCAUUUCCUUUCAACCGUUAGCAGACUGUUAUCUAUCAGCAGAAGAUACAAAACAGAUAUGUGAUGUAUUGCAUGAUCGCAUGACAGAAUGUAGAUAUUUAGAGCCAGUCAGUAGUUUUGACAUGAAAGUGACUCCACAUCCAUGGACUGAAGUCAAUGUUCUUGAGAAAGGACAAAAGGCUCUGGAAGAAACUAAUCAAGAGUUAGGUCUUGGUUUUGAUGACUGGGAUUUAAAUCAUUACACAAGUCUUUUUCGUGACCAUAUGAAAAGGAACCCAACUACAGUAGAAUGUUUUGAUCUUGCUCAGUCUAACAGUGAGCACAGCCGACAUUGGUUCUUUAAAGGACAACUAGUUAUCAAUGGACAUAUGAUAGAAAAGUCACUGAUUGAUACAGUGAUGGAAACUCAGCUAUCUAGCAAUGAUAAUAAUAUCAUCAAGUUUUCAGAUAAUAGCAGUGCUAUUUUAGGUUACGAAGUUACAGAAUUGUUUCCUUCUGAUACCACUGAAUCCAGUGUCUUUCAAACCAGGUCUGAAAAACAACAUAUCAUUUUUACAGCAGAAACUCAUAACUUUCCUACAGGAGUUGCUCCAUUCAGUGGAGCGGCUACUGGCACUGGUGGCAGAAUAAGAGAUGUUCAUGCUGCAGGACGAGGUGCACAUGUUAUUGCUGGAACAGCUUCAUAUUGUUUUGGAAAUCUCAAUAUUCCUGGCUACAAACUUCCCUGGGAAGAUGAAACAUUUGAAUAUCCUAGAAACUUUGCCCUGCCUGUGGAAAUAAUUGUUGAAGCUAGUAAUGGAGCAUCAGAUUAUGGUAACAAGUUUGGGGAACCUGUUUUGUUGGGUUUUGCAAGGUCUUUUGGAAUGAAACUUCCUGAUGGUCAUCGAAGGGAGUGGGUGAAACCUAUCAUGUUUUCUGGUGGUAUUGGAAGUAUUAAUGAAAAGUGUGUCCAAAAAUUGGUUGCAGAAAAAGGUAUGACUGUGGUCAAAAUUGGUGGUCCAGUUUAUAGGAUUGGUGUUGGUGGUGGUGCAGCAUCUUCCAUCCAUGUUCAAGGAGAUCAAAAAGCAGAACUGGACUUUGGUGCUGUGCAGCGAGGAGAUGCAGAGAUGGAACAGAAAUUAAAUCGUGUCAUCAGAGCAUGCAUUGAAAGACAUGAGAAAAACCCUAUACUUAGCAUUCACGAUCAAGGUGCUGGAGGAAAUGGAAAUGUUUUGAAAGAAAUUGUGGAACCAGCUGGUGCUAUUAUCCAUGUGUCACAGUUUCAGCUUGGUGAUCCCACGAUAAACACUUUGGAACUAUGGGGAGCAGAAUAUCAGGAGAGUGAUGCUAUUUUAAUAAAUAACAGAGAACAAAAGAUACUAGUGAAGAUUGGAUGUCGAGAAAAAUGCCCUGUGAGCUUUGUAGGAGAAGUCACAGGAGAUGGUCGAAUUGUUUUGUCUGAAACAUCUUGUGAUAAUAAAGUAGGAAGGCAACCAGUUGAUUUGGAUUUAGAGUUAGUGUUGGGGAAGAUGCCAAGAAAGGUGUACCAUGAUAAAAAAAUGACACUACUCUGUCAUCCACUUACUUUACCUGAGAACCUAACUGUCCGACUAGGUCUGGAACGGGUUUUACGGCUCCCUUCUGUGGCCAGUAAGAGAUACCUAACAAACAAGGUUGAUCGAAGUGUGACUGGAUUGGUAGCUCAACAACAGUGUGUUGGACCACUUCAUACUCCAUUGGCUGAUGUAGCUGUUGUAGCAUUAUCCUACUUUGAUUUAGUUGGUGGAGCUACUUCGAUAGGAGAACAACCAAUCAAAGGGCUUAUAAAUCCAGCAGUUGGUGCAAGAAUGUCUGUAACAGAAGCAGUCACAAACUUAAUGUUUGCUAGGAUUACAUCACUUCAAGAUGUGAAAUGUAGUGCCAAUUGGAUGUGGGCUGCUAAACUCCCAGGAGAAGGUGCUGCUUUAUAUGAAGCAUGCCAAGCCAUGUGUGAAACAAUGUCAACAUUAGGAAUUGCUGUAGAUGGAGGAAAAGAUUCACUGAGCAUGGCAGCGAGACUAGGCUCUGAAACUAUCAAAGCACCAGGAUCUAUUGUAAUCUCUGCAUAUGCUCCAUGUCCUGAUAUUACUGCCACUGUGACACCAGAUCUCAAAUGUCCUGAUGGAUGUGGAUAUCUUGUAUACAUCAACUUGUCUGGAAGAAAAAGUCGCCUGGGAGGAACAGCUCUGGCACAAUGUUUCAAUCAAUUAGGAGAAGAAGUUGCAGAUUUGGAAAGUCCACAAAUGUUAAGAGAUGGUUUUUCUGUCACGCAAGAUCUUAUCAAAGAUGCUAUGCUUACAGCAGGCCAUGAUAUUAGUGAUGGGGGACUCAUCACAUGUUUGUUAGAGAUGGCCUUUGCUGGCAAUUGUGGUAUUAAGGUGGAUAUCAAGAAUAUCUCUCUGUCACCAGUUUCUUUCUUGUUUGGAGAAGAAGCUGGUUGGAUAAUAGAAACUCGACGCUCAGAUCUAAGUCAUGUUCUUGAAGCUUACCAGUCUAAGGGCAUUCCUUGUGUAGUAGUUGGUCAAUCACAAGGUUUUGGACCAGCAACUGAGGUAUCAUUUUCUGUGAAUGGAAUUAAAAUAUUUCAAGACAAGAUGACAUUGCUCCGAGAUAUUUGGGAGGAAACCAGUUUUCAGCUGGAACUGAGGCAGACAAAUCCAGACUGUGUGAAUCAAGAGAAGACUGGGUUAGCUACAAGGACCUGCCCACCAUACAAAAAAACGUUUGAACCUGUUCAAAGAACACCAUAUGAAAAAUCAUCAAGCCUGUCACAACUAUAUCAAGUUUACCUAUAACCUAUCAAAAGGGAGAUGUAACAUAAUCUAGAAUUUGGAAAGAUAGUUUCAAGCUUAUCUAUAUCCUAUCAAAAGUAUUAUCAAAACCUCAAGUAGCAGUUAUUCGGGAAGAAGGUACUAAUGGAGAUCGUGAGAUGGUAGCAGCUCUACAUAUGGUUGGAUUUGAUGUAUGGGAUGUAACCAUGACAGAUCUACUAAGAGGU
rnacentral:misc_RNA from 1 species